rnacentral:rRNA from 1 species
CUACGGGUUGCUCCAGUGAGGAAUAUUGCACAAUGGGGGGAACCCUGAUGCAGCAACGCCGCGUGGAGGAUGACGCAUUUCGGUGUGUAAACUCCUUUUAUAUGUCAAGAAAAUGACGGUAGCAUAUGAAUAAGCACCGGCUAACUCCGUGCCAGCAGCCGCGGUAAUACGGAGGGUGCAAGCGUUACUCGGAAUCACUGGGCGUAAAGGACGCGUAGGCGGGUUGGAAAGUCAGGUGUGAAAUCCUACAGCUUAACUGUAGAACUGCACUUGAAACUUCUAAUCUAGAGUAUGGGAGGGGAGAUGGAAUUAGUGGUGUAGGGGUAAAAUCCGUAGAUAUCACUAGGAAUACCUAAAGCGAAGGCGAUCUCCUGGAACAUUACUAACGCUAAGGCGUGAAAGCGUGGGGAGCAAACAGGAUUAGAUACCCCAGUAGUC